GGGUCGGGCAGUGCCAGAGGGAGGUUGCAAGCGCCGCCACCAACUCGACAGCGCGUCCCAGCGCCUUGAGCUCGCUUCCUCCUGCUCUCAGGAAAAACUGAGGAAACGCGCCUGGUUCCAGGGGUCGGCGGGGACCGUGGAGACUCUGCUAGCAUCCUC
rnacentral:lncRNA from 1 species